AACCUCUUUUGUUAGGGAAGAACAAUGACGGUACCUAACGAAUAAGCACCGGCUAACUCCGUGCCAGCAGCGCGGUAAUACGGAGGGUGCAAGCGUUACUCGGAAUCACUGGGCGUAAAGGACGCGUAGGCGGAUUAUCAAGUCUCUUGUGAAAUCCUAUGGCUUAACCAUAGAACUGCUUGGGAAACUGGUAAUCUAGAGUGAGGGAGAGGCAGAUGGAAUUGGUGGUGUAGGGGUAAAAUCCGUAGAGAUCACCAGGAAUACCCAUUGCGAAGGCGAUCUGCUGGAACUCAACUGACGCUAAUGCGUGAAAGCGUGGGGAGCAAACAGGAUUAGAUACCCUGGUAGUCCACGCCCUAAACGAUGUAUACUAGUUGUUGCUAAGCUAGUCUUGGCAGUAAUGCACCUAACGGAUUAAGUAUACCGCCUGGGGAGUACGGUCGCAAGAUUAAAACUCAAAGGAAUAGACGGGGACCCGCACAAGCGGUGGAGCAUGUGGUUUAAUUCGAAGAUACGCGAAGAACCUUACCCGGACUUGAUAUCUAACAAAUCAUCCAGAGAUGGAAGAGUGUCUGCUUGCAGAAAUGUUAAGACAGGUGCUGCACGGCUUGUCGUCAGCUCGUGUCGUGAGAUGUUGGGUUAAGUCCCGCAACGAGCGCAACCCACGUCAUUAGUUGCUAACAGUUCGGCUGAGCACUCUAAUGAGACUGCCUUCGCAAGGAGGAGGAAGGUGUGGACGACGUCAAGUCAUCAUGGCCCUUAUGUCCGGGGCGACACACGUGCUACAAUGGCAUAUACAAUGAGAAGCAAUAUCGCGAGAUGGAGCAAAUCUAUAAAAUAUGUCCCAGUUCGGAUUGGAGUCUGCAACUCGACUCCAUGAAGCCGGAAUCGCUAGUAAUCGUAGAUCAGCCAUGCUACGGUGAAUACGUUCCCGGGUCUUGUACUCACCGCCCGUCACACCAUGGGAGUUGAUUUCACUCGAAGCCGGAAUACUAAAUUAGUUACCGUCCAUCA
rnacentral:rRNA from 1 species